AAUAAUAUUAAAUAUCGAGGUUCCAAAAUGAUUAACAACUUUAAAAAAUUUUAUUUUUUCUUUAUGAAUGAUCCACAUUAGUUUUUGGCUAAUAAAAUGUGGGUCCUCUUUGAUGUUCGUUAAUCAUCUAGGGGAUAAAGAAGACGUCCCCUGGGACGUCUUUUU
rnacentral:ncRNA from 2 species